CAAGAAGACCUUGUUGA
rnacentral:sRNA from 1 species